UACGGGGGGGGCAAGCGUUGUUCGGAAUUACUGGGCGUAAAGGGCGCGUAGGCGGCCUGCUAAGUCGGAUGUGAAAUCCCUCGGCUUAAACCGAGGAACUGCAUCCGAUACUGGCGGGCUUGAAUCCGGGAGAGGGAUGUGGAAUUCCAGGUGUAGCGGUGAAAUGCGUAGAUAUCUGGAGGAACACCGGUGGCGAAGGCGGCAUCCUGGACCGACACUGACGCUGAGGCGCGAAAGCCAGGGGAGCAAACGGGG
rnacentral:rRNA from 1 species